GCGGAGGGAUCAUUACCGAGUGAGGGCCUCCGGGCUCGACCUCCAACCCUUUGUGAACACAACUUGUUGCUUCGGGGGCGACCCUGCCGUUUCGACGGUGAGCGCCCCCGGAGGCCUUCAAACCCUGCAUCUUUGCGUCGGAGUUUAAGUAAAUUAAACAAAACUUUCAACAACGGAUCUCUUGGUUCUGGCAUCGAUGAAGAACGCAGCGAAAUGCGAUAAGUAAUGUGAAUUGCAGAAUUCAGUGAAUCAUCGAAUCUUUGAACGCACAUUGCGCCCUUUGGUAUUCCGAAGGGCAUGCCUGUUCGAGCGUCAUUUCACCACUCAAGCCUGGCUUGGUAUUGGGCGCCGCGGUCGUUGAUCCGCGCGCCUCAAAGUGUCCGGCUGAGCUGUCCGUCUCUAAGCGUUGUGAUUUCAUUAAUCGCUUUGGAGUGCGGGCGGCCGCGGCCGUUAAAUCUUUCACAAGGUUGACCUCGGAUCAGGUAGGGAUACCCGCUG
rnacentral:rRNA from 1 species